rnacentral:lncRNA from 1 species
AAUACGAUUAGGUUACAUUCUAAUCAAAUUGUGAUUAGAUCUCGUUCUAUUCCAAACAAAUGAAUGAGAUUUUAACAACGCUUUAAGCGAGAUCUGAUGACAUUCUAAUCCAAACAACUUUACAAGAGAGAUUUUGAUAGUUAAUCCCAAUGGAUUUUUUAAUUAAUUAAAAGGUAAUGAAAAUAAUAACAAGACUUCCAUAUUUACAACAGAGUAAACCUACUUCCCCGUGUUGACAUGAAAAGGAAAUUAAAUAACAAUUAUAAUAAAAAUAAAAGAUUAGAACACAUAUUAUAAUUGACUCUAAUUAAAAAUGAAAAAUAUCAAAAGAUCUAAAAUAGCAAAAUUCUAAAAUCCUAAAAUCCUAAAAUAACGUCCUACAUCAUUUUCCUCUCUUAAAAAGAAACUUAUCCUCAAGUUUUCCUAGAGGACGAAAAUUGAAGUGAAGUAGCAAUGCAUCUUAGAGCUUGAACUUAAAGCCUUUUUAAUCAAUUGUUCUUGAAACUCAAUACUCUCCAUGCUUCAUCUUUUUCUUGCACUUAUAACUCUUCGAGCAAAAUGAAGUCUUGAAUGAAUGAAUCACUUCCAAGCCUCUCAAGUCUUUUGCCGAAUCUCACUCAAUGUUCUCACUAAUAAACUUCUCUAUUGAAAGGUCUCCAUUCCUACAGCGGUUUUGUUUUGUCAACGAACGCGUCUCGGGCCGGAUUGACUAUAUCUUUGCAGCCAAAUCUUCUUCAACAAUAACUUGAUUUUGCUAUCAUUGGAUAUGCAUAAUCACAUCUACCAUUGUUGGGGUCCUUUUAACUUGAUUUUGCUACACAAACUCGAUUAUACUAUUUGGACUCGAUGCUUAAAUCAAGAGAAAAUUGUAUCUCUUCUUUAAAAAUCUCAGAUAGAUCAAUAAUCUCAUUAUCGUCUACAUUCAUGGUUGUAAAAAGAGAUGGUUCGACAUUAUUACAAAAUGGUCUUCCAUCAAUUGUCUCACAUCAAAACAUUUUUUAAUUUCAUUUUACCCUUGUCAAAUCCUUAACUCUUGUAGUUAUUCCCACCGAUUUAAAGCAUCGCCUAUCAACUUAAAUGAUGCAUGAGAGAUAGCAACUUUUGAUAAGAGAGUUUGAAGAGAAUCAUCCAUCAUGCAAAUUCAAUAAAAAAUAUCAUUAGGAUUACCAUCAAAAUCUGAGAUAUCUUCAAACUCAAGGAGAAAAUAUGAACCUUGCUCUAUCUUUAUCAAUUUUUUUCUCAAAUUAAAAUUACAUCCAAUGGCAAAACUAUAAAAAAAACCUGACUUUCAAGGUUUGGUGCUACCUAUAGCUUGGUGGCCGUGAUUUGGAGUAGAGAUGGUCAGAUCUAGAAGCUAUGAUAGUAAAGAGCACGAUGGUAACUAUAGAUUGGUCAGACUUGCAAUGGUUUGUCGUGAAAUCCGACCUGAACUGGCGACUGUCUAUGGUGAUGUGGAUUACGAUUUUAGGGUUGUUAUGCAAUGGUUCUCGGUUAAUGCUGGACAAUGGCAUUGAAAAAUAUUUUGGCGACUUAAGGGGAGCCAGACAGAGGUGACAAUCGACGAAAAGGGUGGUGGUUUCACGACGGCAAGUUGGUGGAGUGCUUGCCAGUUCGGGUGAUUUGUAACAAUUACAAGUAGCGGUUAAGGGCGAGGUUGGUUGGGGUUUGGUCGGUAAUGGGCUGACGACUCUGAUGGUUGCAGUGCUUGGCGGUGAUGGUUGCAAGAUUGUGAAGAUAGUGGUGGCGGCGUUGUUUUUCAAUCUUGGUUUUUUUUUUUUUUGUGAUGGAUUCGAUGAGGAUGAAUAUAGGAAGCAGGAAAAGCUUUGCUAUUGAUAGAGAAUUGCUUUGAUACCUAUUGACAGAGCGAGAUAGCAGCAGUAGCUUAAUAAUAUAAAUAAGCAUUAGAUAUAGUUUUAGUAUCGAACCAAGCCAAUGCGAUUAUGUUAUGUUCUAAUUAAAAUAUAAUUAGAUCUCGUUCUAAUCCAAACGACUCAAUGAGAUUUUAACAACACUUUUCAAGAUUAGACGACGUUUUAAUAUAUCUAAACAACUCUAUAAGAGAGAUUUUGAUAGCUAAUCCCAAAAGAAUUAUAAAAAAAGAGUUUUUUUUUAAUUAAUUAAAAGGUUAUAAAAAUAAUAACAAGAUCUCCCUAUUUAUAGUAAACCUACCUACACAAGUUAACUAAAAAAAUAUAAUUAAAUCACAAUUAUAAUGAAAAUAAAAGAAUAAAAUAUAUAUCAUAAUUGACUUUAAAUAAAAAUAGAAAGUAUGAAAAUACCUAAAAUAAUAAAAUUUUAAAAUCUUAAAAUAUUGUCCUACUUCAUCAUGUGUCAAUACUAUUUUAUUAGUAUGAUUAUUAAUCUUUAAUUAAACUAACAUAAAGUCUUUAUGGCUCAAUACUUGUAUAAAUUAUUGGACUGUCAAAUUUAUGUAAUGUACAUGUAGGGUAUUGAAAAUUAUUAGAUUUUAUUUAAAACAUUAGUUACAAGUAAAAAAAUUAAAUACCUAAAUUAUUAUAUGCAAGAACACAUUUAUUGGGUAAUUUGUUUAUUGUAUGUCAUAAGGGUAUUAAGACUGAUGUUAAUGUAACUUAAAUGAUCAAAGAAACCUAAACAAGAAAAUAGUUAUAAAAAUGAUUUAAUUGAUUAAUUAUAAAAAAUUUAUUGUUGAUUCAUAUUUAUUAGAAAGUGAUAUAAGCUUAUUAUAAAUGUGCUCUGGAAGUGGGGUGCGUUUACUAAGGUGAAAAUAUUCACACAGCCCCACCAAUCACUUCCCCUUAAUUCACCUGGUUGACAAAAAAAAAAAAAAAAAUUUAAUUACGACAAAUAUAACAUAUUUAUAUUAAAAUAAAUAUCAAGUCAAUAUAUUAUAAUUAAUCAAAUAUUUAAACGUGUAAUAAAUAGGCUAAGCGUAUUGGAAUAAAACUUUAAACUUAAACCCGACAAGAUUAGGAAAUGAACUUACUGGCUCGUGUUGUGUUCACAUUGGAUUCUCAUAUCGCUGACCCCUUCCCCACACGCAUUCGUUCAACGAACUUAUUUCACAAUUAUUGACGUUGUUUUUUUUCGUAGACUAAUAAGUUAAGAACGUGUUUGAUUGAAAAUGGUCACCAGUCACGUCUUAUCAAAUAAAGGGGAGUUACGUGCCGCUGUAUUUUUGCUCGUGACUUGAAAUUUGGUAUAAUGGUAACAAAAAUAUUGUCAUAUUUUUAUUCGGAUGUGACAUUAUUUUUAUCAUUAUGGCAUGCAUCUUUUUCUUAAGAUGUCUCUGUCAUUUUCUAGGAGCUUUAAUAUUCCUCGGAACCAUAGAACCAUACGUAAUUGCGGACUUGCGUCUGUAAUUAAGAACACCUACCCAGAGAUUUGUUCCCUUCAAUUCAUUGGUACAACAAUUUCUCUCAAGUUAAUUAUAAUCAUGAUGUGGCUCUUAAUUCACAAUUGAUUGAAUUGGUCUGAUGAUUGUUUCAUAUGCCAAAAAGUAAAGCUCAAAUCAAACGUAACUUGGAGAAAAUCAAAGGCUUCAUCAUUUUCAUGUUUUUAUUGGGUCUCAUAGUUUUUCCUUGUUGGAAAUUUCGAACGUGAAAAGAAGUUAAAUGCUUUUAUUAGUUUAUAUAAGAAACUGAUUGUCAUGGCCGAGAUAAAUCUGAAUUUCCAUUUUUAUUAUGGAUACGGGUGGGAUGAAUCAUCCAACCCAUAUAUGCUCCGUUACUACAACUACUAACCAAUAACAACAAUUGCUUGAUUAAUGUUUUGUUUGAAGACUUCAAUCAAUUUUGAUUCAACCGAGAUCAUAACUUUGUCAACAAUCCGUUGGUGUGAUAUGAUGAUGAUGAUUAUUAUUAUUAUUGUGUAAUUUUUUUUUAUAUAUAAUUAUUUUGUAAUUGUUAGAAAGAAAGAAAAAGAAAAUUCUUUGAAGUGAUAUUUGUUGAAGCUUUCGCUUUUCAAUUUCUUGCAUAUUUAAUGAUUUAAAUGAUGUGGGAAUUUCCUCAAGCAAAAAAAAAAAAAAAAAAAAAAAAGAUGUGUGAGAUAUUCUACAGAGUAUUGAUCAAGUGUGCGAUUAGAGGCGUGAUUACACGUGUGUGAUGAUAUAAAAUGUGGAGCUGCUGAGUGCUGACCCUACGAGUUCGUUAUUUGAGAUCUUGACAUGCAUGCAGUCGCACUUGAUAAAAUGCGUGAGUGUUUCCACCUGAUUAAGAUUGAUAUUCAAUGUGACAAUCAGCACAAAGAAAAAUUGACACGCCACGUAUUUGUAAUUAAGUUCCCUUAGAUAUUCUUCUGUGAAUGUGUGACAUGUCAAACACGGAAUUUUGAAUGUUUUUAUUGUAUUGUUGAUGAGUUCUACUUUUCCUACUUGAAAAUUAAACUGCCUUCAAACAUUCAACAAGUUUUUAUUUAAUCUACUUUGUAUUUAAAAAAAAAAAAUCAACUUUGUAUUAAUCUUUGGUUAAACUACACAAAACCUGCUUUAAACAGUUCAUUUGAAAUGCUUUCUUGAGAAGCAUCUAAUAAAUACUCUUAUCCAAAAAGAAAUUUUGGAGAUACAAAUAAGAAAAGCACUUAAAAAAUUUGAUGCUUUUAGAAACAUCAUGAUGUAGGACGUUGUUUU